GAGUCUGUUAAUCAUUUAGAAAGAAAAAAAAAUCACAGUUGGAUGCUCCAUUCAUUUGCCAUCAUUUGUACAUUGUCACCAUUUCUGAGAUCAUUUCCCUUCCCUGGAAAGUCCUCCUAGAGAAAGUUAAAAAAUAGAUUUAUUUACGAGAUGUCCAGGAUGGGCCUAAUACAUGUUUCCCAUGAUAAGCAUAAUCUGCAUGCCAUUUCCUCUCAGGAGGGUGUCUCCACAGUGGAUUAAAUGUCUUGCCAGGCUCAUAUCAUUUUCACAAGCCCCAGAAAGACCGCACAAGUCAAGUCUUGGGAGGUCAAGAUGAACUGCUGAUGAAGAUAAAAUCACUCCCAGGAGAAAGAAAUAUCAGAACGAGAGGGUAUUCCACUAGUUGGCCACCUCCUCCUGUGACUCAUUUGUCUACUAACAGGCUCUCUUUCCUCUCCAGAACUCCAGUGAAGACGGUCCACCUGGUGUGGCAUCUGACCACAGCUUCCAAAGACAACACACUCACUCUGAGAGCCUGAGACGGCGAUAAACACAUCCACUUCUGCUUUCUUGCUACUUGGAACUACAGCCCGGAAAUAGCUCACAGGGAGACAAUCUGACCCCACCCACCUGUGGAAGGCUGCAAGAAAGAAGAAAUUAACACAUCCCCUACCCGAAGCUGGCCAUUCUAGGGGAUAUUUGCAAAACUUAUGGCCUUUUUACUUUACCUCCUCAUCUCCUCCCCACUCUGUGCUGUAAAAGAAACUGGCCUCCAAACGCUGAUAAGAUGGUUUAUCGGAGAUACUAGUCUGCCAUCUUCUCUGUCUGCUGGCUUUCCGAAUAAAGUCGUAUUCCUUUUGCCUCAACACCUCGUCUCCAAUUCAUUGGCCUGUCCUGUGGUGAGCAGUGAGCCUGGACUUGGUAACACAACUACCAUCAACAGAAAGCAGUAAACACUCAACAGCCCUAAGCCAAUCAAGAGCCAAGAGCAAAUAAAGAACCUUCUUAGAAAACUGGCCUUGGGGAGAAGGCAAAUGAACUCAGUAAAGAGUACCAGGAUCUAGUCAGGUUCCAGGAAACCCAGC